rnacentral:rRNA from 1 species
GACGAACGCUGGCGGCGUGCCUAAUACAUGCAAGUCGAGCGAAGUUUUUCUGGUGCUUGCACCGGAAAAACUUAGCGGCGAACGGGUGAGUAACACGUAAAGAACCUGCCUCAUAGACUGGGACAACUAUUGGAAACGAUAGCUAAUACCGGAUAACAGCAUUAACUGCAUGGUUGAUGUUUAAAAGUCGGAUUUGCUAACACUAUGAGAUGGCUUUGCGGUUCAUUAGCUAGUUGGUGGGGUAAAGGCCUACCAAGGCGACGAUGCAUAGCCGACCUGAGAGGGUGAUCGGCCACACUGGGACUGAGACACGGCCCAGACUCCUACGGGAGGCAGCAGUAGGGAAUCUUCCGCAAUGGGCGAAAGCCUGACGGAGCAACGCCGCGUGAGUGAAGAAGGAUUUCGGUUCGUAAAGCUCUGUUGUUAGGGAAGAAUGAUUGUGUAGUAACUAUACACAGUAGAGACGGUACCUGACCAGAAAGCCACGGCUAACUACGUG